rnacentral:miRNA from 1 species
AGGAGGACACAUGUGGUGCAGU